rnacentral:lncRNA from 1 species
AUGCCCCAUGAGCUGAGUUUCUCCAUCCAGAAUCUAGGACUUCAGACUGAACACAUCAGUGACUCUCCACUUGUCUGGCUGCCACCUUCUAGACCAUUACUCCUCCAGAUGCUCUCUUAUCUAUUUGUGCAAUCAGAAAUUCAUUCAUGUGAGGAAAAAGCAGUUAAAACCGAUGGAAAAACGCCAAAGAAAGUGACUGUCAGACUGAUUGCUUUUUGGCAGAGACUGAGAUCAAGAUUUACCAAGGAAAGCCCACGUAUAUAUGACCCAAGAGGAAGUGCCAGAGCUUAAGAGCAUCACGAAGCGUGGAAACUGGAAUUUCAGUUACCUUGCAAGAUAUCAGGUGCCUCCUUCAAAUGAAUUUUUAAGUAUCUCCGUGAUGAUGAAGAAGAACAGAGACAUCAAUUAGGAUUCAGGAAGACAAGUCUUUGCAGAAAAUGCUUAGAGCAUCAAGGAUUGCUAUUAAUAUUUGAAAGUUUAAAAGAGGGCAUACUUUUCUUCAGUCAACAAAUGACAAAAGUAAAGGCAUUGUUUUCGUUGUUCCUGGAAGAAGCCUGGCAGCAUUCCAUUCAGUCAUCUGCCCUUUGAUCGUCGUCCCCUUUUCCUCUUUACUUAUUUCAGUCCUUCUAAUCUUCAAGGCUGAGUCUGAAUAUUUCUUCCUGAGGCUUCUUCCAAUCCUAUCUGCCCUUAAGGACAACUCCCUCCUCCAACUCCUAUAGCCCUUAUUAUUAUACCUUUCAUUUGAAAAUUUAGUACAUGAUACAUUAUACUAUUAUUGAAUAAAUAGAUGUUCAUUCUCUGCA